GUGGGGAAUAUUGGACAAUGGGCGAAAGCCUGAUCCAGCCAUGCCGCGUGUGUGAAGAAGGCCUUUUGGUUGUAAAGCACUUUAAGCGAGGAGGAGGCUACCGAGAUUAAUACUCUUGGAUAGUGGACGUUACUCGCAGAAUAAGCACCGGCUAACUCUGUGCCAGCAGCCGCGGUAAUACAGAGGGUGCGAGCGUUAAUCGGAUUUACUGGGCGUAAAGCGUGCGUAGGCGGCUUUUUAAGUCGGAUGUGAAAUCCCUGAGCUUAACUUAGGAAUUGCAUUCGAUACUGGGAAGCUAGAGUAUGGGAGAGGAUGGUAGAAUUCCAGGUGUAGCGGUGAAAUGCGUAGAGAUCUGGAGGAAUACCGAUGGCGAAGGCAGCCAUCUGGCCUAAUACUGACGCUGAGGUACGAAAGCAUGGGGAGCAAACAGGAUUAGAAACCCCGGUAGUCC
rnacentral:rRNA from 1 species